UACGGAGGGAGCUAGCGUUGUUCGGAAAUACUGGGCGUAAAGCGCACGUAGGCGGCGCAGCAAGUCAGGGGUGAAAUCCCGGGGCUCAACCCCGGAACUGCCCUUGAAACUGCAGUGCUAGAAUUCUGGAGAGGCGAGUGGAAUUCCGAGUGUAGAGGUGAAAUUCGUAGAUAUUCGGAAGAACACCAGUGGCGAAGGCGGCUCACUGGCCCGGUACUGACGCUGAGGCGCGAAAGCGUGGGGAGCAAACAGG
rnacentral:rRNA from 1 species